CUUCGAUCCACACGAUUGCUUAUGGAGUGAUCACUGCAAUUAAAAUAACAAACAAAAAUGGAGAGAAAUUUCCACAUCAGAUCCAGCCAUUCUCAUGAAAUACUGAUGCGAAUUGGGGACACGGAAAAAUCACUGAGUAAACCUCAUUUACUGCAACUACAACUUGACAGAUGAGAAAUAAAGGGGAAUUUCCAGUCGUGCCUGUUACUUUUACAAAUAAAAUGCUAUUCUCCCAGCGAUAUCCUAACAUGAAGAAUAGAUUUUUUAAAAAUUA